GGGAAGAGGGGCAGACCUGAGCUGAAACCAAGAGUCAGCUGACUACCCAGCUGAGCCACCCAGGCACUCCUGGAUGUGCUGAUUUUACUGCUCCUGGAUGCUCCUCCUGGGAAGCAAUGGGGAUUAUGCUGAUGCCAUUCCUCCAAUGACAGACGUCAUGCAACUAGAGCUCAGACAGAAUCCUGGUGCAUUUCUUGAGCAGCAGAAAGCAUCAGAGUUCAGAUAUACAGAAGAAGUAUUGGAUACUUUCCUUAGAAGAUAAAACAGGAGGGACAUUUAAACAACUUCAGGGGAGAAGAAGCACAAGGAAUAUUUUGAGAGGCCCGUAACCUUUGGCUGACACCCAGCAAGGCUAUUAGUUUAACCAUGGGAUGCACUACCAAAUGCAUGAGAGUCAGCGGAACUUCUUUUCUGAAAGUUGAUUUGUAAGAAAAGUUUGGUUAAAGAGACCACAGAAACAGAUGGAAUGGGUGAAAGGGGACAAAAAGACAAGCAUCAAGAAACUUGACUUCCGUUGGUUGGCAUAACUGCAGCUUCUAGUGUCUUUUCAACCAUAUGUUCAAGAUGGAAACUGCAGCUCACAUUUAAAUGUCACGCUGCCCUUGGUUCCAUAAACAUGUAUCAUCCAUCACUAAAUAUUUAGAUCUGAAUUGUUGAAGCUGAGUUCUGUGCCAGGGGUAGGGGGAUUAAUUCCUCUCAAAGUCCUCACAUGAUGGAUUUUCCACUGAAGUAAACAUCCGAGAAGAGCUCACA